GACGAACGCUGGCGGCGUGCCUAAUACAUGCAAGUAGAACGCUGAAGGAGGAGCUUGCUUCUCCGGAUGAGUUGCGAACGGGUGAGUAACGCGUAGGUAACCUGCCUGGUAGCGGGGGAUAACUAUUGGAAACGAUAGCUAAUACCGCAUAACAGUAGAUAUUGCAUGAUAUCUGCUUGAAAGGUGCAAUUGCAUCACUACCAGAUGGACCUGCGUUGUAUUAGCUAGUUGGUGGGGUAACGGCUCACCAAGGCGACGAUACAUAGCCGACCUGAAAGGGUGAUCGGCCACACUGGGACUGAGACACGGCCCAGACUCCUACGGGAGGCAGCAGUAGGGAAUCUUCGGCAAUGGACGGAAGUCUGACCGAGCAACGCCGCGUGAGUGAAGAAGGGUUUCGGAUCGUAAAGCUCUGUUGUAAGAGAAGAACGAGUGUGAGAGUGGAAAGUUCACACUGUGACGGUAUCUUACCAGAAAGGGACGGCUAACUACGUG
rnacentral:rRNA from 1 species